CCCUUAGAUGUUCUGGGCCGCACGCGCGCUACACUGACGAAUGCAACGAGCUUAUAACCUUGGCCGAAAGGUCUGGGUAAUCUCCAAAUUUCGUCGUGAUGGGGAUAGGUUAUUGCAAUUAUUAAUCUUCAACGAGGAAUGCCUAGUAAGCGCAAGUCAUCAGCUUGCGUUGAUUACGUCCCUGCCCUUUGUACACACCGCCCGUCGCUCCUACCGAUUGAAUGGUCCGGUGAAGCGCUCGGACCGCGGCCUCUUGACGGUUCGCUGUCGAUUGGCUGUGGGAAGUUCGUUAAACCUUAUCAUUUAGAGGAAGGAGAANUCGUANCA
rnacentral:rRNA from 1 species